rnacentral:piRNA from 1 species
UAGGACAAAACAGUAAUAUUGCUGGCUGGU